rnacentral:rRNA from 1 species
GAUGAACGCUGGCGGCGUGCCUAAUACAUGCAAGUCGAGCGAACAGAUGAGGAGCUUGCUCCUCUGACGUUAGCGGCGGACGGGUGAGUAACACGUGGAUAACCUACCUAUAAGACUGGGAUAACUUCGGGAAACCGGAGCUAAUACCGGAUAAUAUAUUGAACCGCAUGGUUCAAUAGUGAAAGACGGUUUUGCUGUCACUUAUAGAUGGAUCCGCGCCGCAUUAGCUAGUUGGUAAGGUAACGGCUUACCAAGGCAACGAUGCGUAGCCGACCUGAGAGGGUGGUCGGCCACACUGGAACUGAGACACGGUCCAGACUCCUGCGGGAGGCAGCAGUAGGGAAUCUGACGCAAUGGGGGAAAGCUUGACGGAGCAACGCCGCGUGAGUGAUGAAGGUCUUCGGAUCGUAAAGCUCUGUUAUUAGGGAAGAACAAAUGUGUAAGUAACUAUGCACGUCUUGACGGUACCUAAUCAGAAAGCCACGGCUAACUACGUG